GAUGAAGAACGCAGCGAAAUGCGAUAAGUAGUGUGAAUUGCAGAAUUCAGUGAAUCAUCGAAUCUUUGAACGCACAUUGCGCCCCUCGGUAUUCCGUGGGGCAUGUCUGUUCGAGCGUCAUUUAACCCCUCAAGCCUAGCUUGGUAUUGGGUGCUUGUCCCGCCUCUCGCGCGGCGACUCACCUCAAAGUCAUUGGCAGCCCGCAUCUCGCCGGCCGUGAGCGCAGCACAGACGCGCUCUUGGCAACGACGGAUCGGCUCUCCAAAAGCUUAUUUCAACCACUGACCUCGGAUCAGGUAGGGAUACCCGCUGAACUUAAGCAUAUCAAUAAGCGGAGGA
rnacentral:misc_RNA from 1 species